GCCCGCUUAACUCAAUCGGCAGAGUAUCGGUUUUGUAAACCGAAAGUUCUCGGUUCAAAUCCGAGAGUGGGCU
rnacentral:tRNA from 1 species